UUACAUGAAUAUCCUUGGACAUAGUGCAUGGAUGAUUCAAUGAUGUGGAUUAUUUAUUAAGUUGAGUCUCAGCGAUAAAAUAUUGAUUAUACACUUUUAAUUCGUAAAAGAUAGUAGAUAUCAUGCUCUACUUGACUCUUCUAAAAUACAGUUGUAUGUCUUUGGCCUGUAGUGCAAAGAUGAAUUGUUAAUGAAUAUCUUUGGUCGUAGUGCAAAUAUGAAUUUAUUAGUAUGCUUAUGAGCAGGAAUUGUGAUUUGGUAUAACCAUGAUUUUUGAUGUUUCAGGUGAAGAUAGGUGAUGAAAAUUAUCUCCGUCCUAGGUGAGAAAAGGAAUUUAGAAUCACAAUUAUGAUUAUGAGUUAUUCAUAUGAUUGUGGACAGGAAUUGUUGAUUGAUGUUACAGGGAUAAAAC
rnacentral:lncRNA from 1 species